rnacentral:lncRNA from 1 species
AGGAAACAGGGCGGAGGCGUGGAGGGAGCCGUGCAGCGCUGGUGUGAGGAGCAGCGAGCAGGCCAGGCCUGUAAAGCAGAGUGAGGGAACCAGGAUAGAGAACCUUACCGCUAUCAACGUAUUUUCUGGUGUUUUCACAGUGCUGCGCUUCCUAAUCCCCAUUCCAUGGCAAUCCACAUGCCAUGAUGCCCGGAGUCAUUAACAAAGGAGACACACAGGGGCUCCUCACGUUGGCUUUCCAGGGUUUUGAUGAAAAUCUGUUUCCUCGUCUCAUACAAUGUGGCUGUACAGGAAGCAUGGUGAUGGCAUCUGCAUGGCGCCUGUGGAGGCCCCAGGGAGCUUUUACUCAUGAUGGAAGGCACAGAGGGAGUAGGCACAUCACAUGGUCCGAGGAGGAGCAAGAGAAAAUGGGAGUGGGAGGCACCAGCAGAGAGGAGCAGAGACGCCCAGAACACACUGUCCCCCAAUGCCAGCCCCAAGCGGGGCCAGCUCAGGGUGCGGUGGGCAGAGCCAUCCUGCAGCUCUGAGAUCCGCAAGGUGGAGGUGGGAGUAGCGCCAGGCUCCACUGUGUUGGAGCUUGCCCCGUUUGAGCCCAAUUUGAUUCCGGAGCCAUGACCUGCAGCACAUUGGCGACCAGAAGACACCCAAAGAUACUGCAUAGUGGAUGGAUUAGUCUGUGGUUCCUGGGAUCUUCUGUGUAUUCUGUUGAAGCUCAAUAAUCACAUUACUGCGGACCUCCAAAAUUUUACAAAGGACUGCAUGCUCUUUGUCCUGGGAAGAGUUUGCUGCAUCUUCCAGUUUCAGUAAUCAAAGAAGCAAAGUUCCCUGCAGUUCUUCAAGGAACCUUGAGAAUUCAGAAGGUCUUGGGGUGGCUGCAUCCAUCCUGCAGACAAAUGCCAAUCAGCAGAGGGGCCAUUCCCAGGGACACAUGUCUGGCUGACUUGGGCCUUGGCCAGGUAAGACACACAGCAUGCAUGCCUGCAUUUCUGAAUGCCAUAGACCUGACAAGUCAUAAAAUAGCAACCAAUAAUUUUAUGUUAGAGUGCUCCCUUCCUCACAGAAAUCUCAGCAUAUGUGAAGAUAGGUUGGAAUGUGUAAAGAAAAGCUAAGAAAGCAGAUUUCUGAUAAGAACAGCGUGUGACUUGUACAGCAGCUCUGAAUUACAGCCCGUAGGAUGGAAUGCUGACAGUUCCUUCUUCCUUACCUGUGAUGGCUAGAAUUUUAUUUAGCACAUCGUUUUUGAGCCAAUCUCAAAAUGAGAAAACUUUUGAGGAAUUAUGCAUAGUGGCUUUGGAUUCACCUUGAAAACAUCCCCUCUGAACAUCAGAAGUCCACUUGGUCCCCGAACAGUGUAUUAACUUCUAACAUUUCUGACUUCCAGUCAUGGAGAUUUCAAAACCAAUUGCAUAUAGCAAUGAAGCUUUUCACUUUUAAUGGAACAUUUAGGAGAAGGGCGGCUUUUCCUAUUUUCUGUGUUAUCUUCAGCCUGUUAACUGUUGUCAGCCCUGGAGAGAAACCAUCCCUUCUCCUUAAAAACAUGAACCACAUACUAAGUUGCUUCUUGCCUCUUAAAGAUUCAGGUCACUCAGGUACAUCAGACUGAGACAGGACGCUCAGGUACAUCAUACUGAGACAGGACACUCAGGUACAUGAUACUGAGACAAACACUCAGGUACAUCAUACUGAGACAGGACGCUCAGGUACAUCACACCGAGACAGGACAUGUUGAUUGUUGGUGUGUAUUUCUCCCAAGCCACCACUCAAACCAGUGUUUGAUUUCCAUGGAGGUUGGCUGAUGGCUUUUAGCUUGAGCCCCAACAGUGUGACUUCAUACAAGGCAGGGUGUCAAUGUGCUGAUAUUCCAAUCUUGCAGAAAUCGACUGGAUUUAGUGGAAUUAAAGUCAACUGGAAGACGAUCUGUGGGGAUAAUUCCAUGAUUCAAAGCCUUCAGGGAAAACGUGUUUGCUCAGCUGCAGUGAUUGAAAAAUUGAAGGCAAUGAGAGUCAUAUGUUAUGCUUGGUUAUGUCCUGCUCUGAUGCCAGUUUGGAGUAAAGGCUGAACUUUGCUGUUGAAAGCCACUGUGGAAAGUGGAAACAUUGACUGUGCGUUGCUGAGGGGAGGAAUGUAUUUACUUACCCAGAAAUAGACGCAUCCUUGUCUCAGUGGGCUGGGAGAUAGUAUCAAUCCUUUCUGUUGCAACAGAUCCCACUGCCUUCUUUUUUCAAAAGAGUAAAUAUUUAAAUAGGUAAUACAGAAAAGUUAUUGCCAUUUUUCCUUCAUCAGCCAUGGCUGGGAGUCAAAAGA